GAUGAACGCUAGCUACAGGCUUAACACAUGCAAGUCGAGGGGUAACGAGAGGAAAGCUUGCUUUCCUUGUCGACGACCGGCGCACGGGUGAGUAACGCGUAUCCAACCUGCCCCCAACUAGGGAAUAACCUUGCGAAAGUAAGACUAAUACCCUAUAAUUUCCUCAGAUGUCAUCUGACGAGGAAUAAAGAUUUAUCGGUUGUGGAUGGGGAUGCGUCUUAUUAGCUUGUUGGCGGGGUAACGGCCCACCAAGGCAACGAUCAGUAGGGGUUCUGAGAGGAAGGUCCACCACAUUGGAACUGAGACACGGUCCAAACUCCUACGGGAGGCAGCAGUGAGGAAUAUUGGUCAAUGGGCGGAAGCCUGAACCAGCCAAGUAGCGUGCAGGAUGACGGCCCUAUGGGUUGUAAACUGCUUUUAUACAGGAAUAAAGUUAGCCACGUGUGGUUAUUUGUAGGUACUGUAUGAAUAAGGACCGGCUAAUUCCGUGCCAGCCGCCGCGGUAA
rnacentral:rRNA from 1 species